rnacentral:rRNA from 1 species
CAGUAGCCGCUGGAAUACAGAGGGUGCGAGCGUUAAUCGGAUUUACUGGGCGUAAAGCGUGCGUAGGCGGCUUUUUAAGUCGGAUGUGAAAUCCCUGAGCUUAACUUAGGAAUUGCAUUCGAUACUGGGAAGCUAGAGUAUGGGAGAGGAUGGUAGAAUUCCAGGUGUAGCGGUGAAAUGCGUAGAGAUCUGGAGGAAUACCGAUGGCGAAGGCAGCCAUCUGGCCUAACACUGACGCUGAGGUACGAAAGCAUGGGGAGCAAACAGGAUUAGAUACCCCAGUAGUCCCUGUCUCUUAUAC